rnacentral:rRNA from 1 species
UACGUAGGGCGCAAGCGUUGUCCGGAAUUAUUGGGCGUAAAGAGCUCGUAGGCGGCUUGUCACGUCGGGUGUGAAAGCCCGGGGCUUAACCCCGGGUCUGCAUUCGAUACGGGCAGGCUAGAGUGUGGUAGGGGAGAUCGGAAUUCCUGGUGUAGCGGUGAAAUGCGCAGAUAUCAGGAGGAACACCGGUGGCGAAGGCGGAUCUCUGGGCCAUUACUGACGCUGAGGCACGAAGGCCAGGGGAGCAAACGGG